UCCUACGGGGCGCAGCAGUGGGGAAUAUUGCACAAUGGGGGAAACCCUGAUGCAGCGACGCCGCGUGAGCGAGGAAGUACCUCGGUAUGUAAAGCUCUAUCAGCAGGGAAGAUAAUGACGGCACCUGACUAAGAAGCCCCGGCUAACUACGUGCCAGCAGCCGCGGUAAUACGUAGGGGGCAAGCGUUAUCCGGAUUUACUGGGUGUAAAGGGAGCGUAGACGGCAUAGCAAGUCUGAAGUGAAAGCCCGGGGCUCAA
rnacentral:rRNA from 1 species